AUGGAGUCAUUUCGUCGUCCUCCUCCCCUUGCUAUGCAAGGUAAUUUGGCUGAGAACUGGAGACGGUGGGAACAGGUCUUUCAGUUGUAUCUUGCUGCAGCGGGACUUGAGAAUGUGUCAAAGAAGCAGCAGAUAGCUAUCCUGCUACAUUGUGUGGGAGAGGAAGGAGUUUCUUUAUAUAAUACAUUUGUUUUUGCCGAGGAGAACCCGAAAGAUAUUGCAGAGGUUCUGGAACAGUUUAGGACUUAUUUUUUACCUCGGAAGAACAUUGUGUUUGAAAGGUUUUGUUUCUGGAACCAUAUGCAGAGUCCUGGAGUUACAAAUGUGCAAUUUAUUGCUGAGCUAAAACUGAAAGCAGCCAGCUGUGAAUUUGGAAUGGCAGUUAAUGAGAUGAUAAGAGAUAAAGUUGUUUUUAGUUUACAGCAAGAGAAACUGAAACGAAAGUUGUUACAAGAAGCCGAUCUUACACUUGAGAAGGCCGUGGAGAUAUGCCGGGUUGAUGAGACAACGAGAGCUCAGCUGAGAACCAUGGCAAUAACAUCGGAAGAAGGAGUGUUUGAAUUACAAGACAGCCAUGGAGAAAACAAAGAGAUUAUAACUCAAGCUCUGGGAACCAGGGAGUCAAGACACAGAGACAAUUGGAAAAAUCAGAAUAAGUGUGGUUAUUGUGGUACAGCUCAUGAACCUCAGAGAUGUCCAGCAUUUGGAAAGACCUGCAACAAGUGUGGCAAGAAAAAUCAUUAUGCCAGGUUAUGCAGGUCAAGGGUGACCAAUCCUGUGAAUAUACAAGCCAGACAACACAUUCAUGAGUUGAAUGUAAGUAAUUUAAUGAUAGGAAAGCUGGAUGAAGAAAUGAAGGAUACACAGAUAACAAACAAGGCAGGAUGGAUUCCUAUUAACGUGCGUCAAGAUCUACAAAGAGCUCAGGAAAGACAGAAACAUUUUUAUGAUCGAACAGCAAGACCCCUCAAACCACUAAGAGAGGGAGAUUUGGUAUGGAUGCAAUCCAAUAAUUGCAAAGAAAGAUGGCUUCCUGCCGUUGUGAUAGAAAAAUGUAAACAGCCUCGGUCAUAUCUAAUAAAGAAUCAGGACGGUCGCGUAUAUCGGCGUAAUAGGCGUCAAUUAAAACAACGGAACCAAACACCCGAAACUACAAUUCAAGGAAAUACAACAUAUAAUGGUUCUAAAGGGAUGUUUGUGAACAAAAGUGACGCACAUGUAAUAGCAGAUAGAAAGCCAACGUAUGUGACAUCGCAUGGCAGGCCUGUGUUUGAACCUGUAAGGUACACUCCUUAGAAGGAUGGUGCUGAAGACCAUCCUCAACGGUGGGCUAAGUACUAGUGACCUCUGGCCCCAUAGAAGACAUAUUUUCUUACCUGUCUAGUGAUGUAAUGAAGCUGCCAAGUUUUAAUGAGAGACUUUUGUAAUUUUGAUGUAUGAUUUUUUUAACACUUUUAUAAAAUGUAUUUUGUUUUGUCUUGUCAGAUGUGUAGUUAUUAUGUAUGAAGGGGAGAUGUGGUAUACUGUGCCUUUAAGCCACACUCUCUGGUUGUUACAGCUGUAAUGUAAGAACUACUGAUUGCUAGGAUAUAUAGCUUGUGUGCACCCAAAGCCUCAGUAGCCUUCCUAAUGUUUGGAAUAAACUCUUUCCUACAAGACUCUGCUGGCUGUUGAGCUUCCUUCAUACGAAGAAUAUCACAUGGUCCAGGGUUCGUUUUGCCCCUUUGAGCCUGUUUAGAAGUUGUUUAAGGCCCCUUUAGGGUGAUCCAGGGUUUGUUUUGCCCCUUUGAGCCUGUUUAGAAGUUGUUUAAGGCCCCUUUAGGGUGGUCCAGGGUUCGUUUUGCCCCUUUGGGCCUGUUUAGAAGUUGUUUAAGGCCCCUUUAGGGUGGUCCAGGGUUCGUUUUGCCCCUUUGAGCCUGUUUAGAAGUUGUUUAAGGCCCCUUUAGGGUGGUCCAGGGUUCGUUUUGCCCCUUUGAGCCUGUUUAGAAGUUGUUUAAGGCCCCAUGAGGGUGGUCCAGGGUUCGUUUUGCCCCUUUGGGCCUGUUUAGAAGUUGUUUAAGGCCCCAUGAGGGUGGUCCAGGGUUCGUUUUGCCCCUUUGGGCCUGUUUAGAAGUUGUUUAAGGACCCAUGAGGGUGGUCCUGGGUUCGUUUUGCCCCUUUGGGCCUGUUUAGAAGUUGUUUAAGGCCCCAUGAGGGUGGUCCAGGGUUCGUUUUGCCCCUUUGGGCCUGUUUAGAAGUUGUUUAAGGCCCCAUUAGGGUGGUCCAGGGUUCGUUUUGACCCUUUGGGCCUGUUUAGAAGU
rnacentral:lncRNA from 11 species